AAAACUAGGCAUAUGCUCUUGAUUUCUAUCGUUGGCAAUUUGUGGGCCCUGGAUAAGUGUUUGCUAUUUGCAUGUGUCUGGGGAAGCACCCUAGGAUACUAAGGUAAGACCUAAAAUGGCGAUUUGAAGAAUGAUGUGAGAUUGAGGUGGAUACUUGUGUAAGUGGUGAUGAGUAAUGUCUUUGUCUGCAAAUAGAUGAUUAGCUGCAACUGAGAUUCCUGUUUUCAAUAUAGCUCAUGAGAAGGCCUAUUAAAAUAUCAAUAGACUGGUUCCAUUUAUAUAGCAUUGUGGCAAAUAUAAUUGGUGAGUUUCUCAUGUUGCCACGUUCCUCCUCCCCGUGACUUAUUUAUGAGUGUUACAUAGUAAUGAAAAAGAUAGGCUGUAAUGAACUACUGCUAGGCAGAACAUUUUCCAAUGUUGCUAAGAGUUUCUUUUCUUUCCAACAAAAUUGUUUCUUUUUCUCUCCCCAUAAUCAUUAGUCUGUGUUUUGAUGAUAAAACAGAAUUAGAAAGUUGGCUAUUCAUAAUUAAUACCUGUUUACUAUACGAAAUGGUAUUUUUGCUAGAGAAAAUAAUGGUAGGAAACAGUACAAGGAGCGCUUCGGUUCUGUGACUCUCAAUUAGCAAAGCCACAUUAGUUACCUGCGGUAGGAGUGUGGUAUCUUAAAUAGCUGUAAUGCGAUAUGGGACACCAUGACAGAGUGUAUCUGAAUGACAUUUCCCGAGAUACUCCACACAUUGACUGCUUUUCUUGUUUUUUACUUUUUGAAAUAAAUAAAAGAUGGAAACAAAAUUGUAAUAAAUUUUCUGAAACAAUAAUUAUACUAGCUGCAAAUUUGUAAAGCCAAACCAAACAAACAGUACAGUUGUCCAAUUUGGCAAUCCCCAAUCCAAAAAAGGACUGAUAUUAUCAUUUUGGAACAUUGACUAUUCAUGGUUUCUACCUUGAAAGGAGUCCAAAUAUUUUUGAUGAAAAUCAGAGAUAAUAUGUGGCUUGUCUCAAGAAUGAUAGGUUUGUAUCUGUUCCUAGAAAUCAUUAAGCGUCAUCUUCUCUCUGCUAUAUAACCCCAUGUUGUGCUGGAGCCAUAGAAUUUUCUUCCUGCUACUUUUUAUUUGUGGUAUUUAUGUGUUUUAUUGAUUAUGUGACAUAAUAAAACAUAGCAAGUUGGAGCCGUAUGUGCUAUAUAUUUUGUUCAACAGCGAUGCAGAAUGUUAGGGCUCCACUCUCCACUCGAAACAUCUUGCUGGGAUAUAAAUAGAUUUAUAAUGACUACUAGGCUCUGUGCCUGCAAAAUACCCUGGUAAGUAGCUCAUUAUAGAGCUAACAUCAUUAAUAAAAUAGCUGAAAAAUUUCACAAGUACAGGAAUAUCUUUUACAUCAGUAGCUGUAAGGAAAAUACCUAGCGUAUGCAUAAUUUGAGACUCAUUUUAAAGCUAUAAUUUAUCAUCAUUAUCUACAUAUUAUAAUGGCAAAACAGGUUUAAUUGCUUUUGACUGGACUGGCAUCAUGAUGAGGAGAAAAGUUAGUAGCAGAUGGCCCCACUGUCAAAACUGCAGUCUCUUAGCCCAAAAUAAAGUAACAGACUGAAGAGAACGUUUCUGGUUUCUAGCUCUAUCUUAUCUUGAUAAGUAUGAAUUAGCAUUUUCUGGUAUUAUAAUUGUCUAGAGAAAAGUGGAAAUAGUAAUUAUUUACAGAAGACUAAAAUAGCUGUGAAAUUCAACUUUAGCAGGUUUAAAUUGUCUAACAUUUUUGGAUUAACAGAAAUAUUUACUUUUGGUAUGACUUAGUGAGUUAAAAAAAUAUUUCCAUUUUAGCUUUACAAUAUUAAAUUGCUGGCAUGUGAAC
rnacentral:lncRNA from 1 species